rnacentral:rRNA from 1 species
AUGUAAAUUUUUGUGUGAAUGUAUAUUUAUUUAUUGUAAUAAUAAAUAUUUUAAUUUUAUUCUCUUUAAUUAAUUUUAAAAAUACAAGUAAAUUUGUAGGUAGUAAAUUUAUUUAAAUAUUGAUUAAAUUUGUACCAGCAGCUGCGGUUACACAAAUAAUAUAAAUUUAAUUAUUUUAGCGAUAUUGUUAUUAUUUAUUUAUUUAUUUUAUUAUUUAUUGUGUUAUUUUAUAUAAAUUUGUUACGUAAAUUUUAAAUUUAUUAUUCAUUAAAAACAUUUUGAAACAAGUAAAUUUUAAUAAAAAACUAGGAUUAGAUACCCUAUCUAAAUCUUAAAAACAUGCGUAAGUGAACUUGUAUUUUAAUCAAUAAUUCGCGAUGGACCUUCUGAAUUUUGUUUUCAGUUUAUAUACCGUCGUUUAUAGAAUAUUUUAUAAGAAAAAUAAUUUUUAAUGAACUUAUAUCACAUCAAGGUGUAAUUUAUAGUUAAGUUAAGAUGAGUUAAAAUAAAUUUAUUUUUCGGAUUUAAUUUUGAAAUAUUUUAAUUAAGUUGGAGUUUAUAGUAAAAUUAUAGAGACUAAUAAUUAGAUUAUAGCUCUAAAAUGUGCAUAUAUUGCCCGUGGCUCUUUUUAUUAAGAAAAGAGAAGUCGUAACAAAGUAGAUGUA